UGCCACCCACAGUGAUAUAAUACAGGCCAACAUGAGGACUCAACUAAUUUUUACCUGAGCCCCCCCCUCCCCCCAUAUCCUUAACCAUUGGCCACCAUGACAGUGCGUUAGCAAACAUCCAGCAGACAUGGAGCACAAUGUUAGCAUUCACUUGGAGUCGUGUUUCUGCCCACCUGACAAAUUGAGCCAGGCCUUGGGCUGCCAGCGGAGGACGUGAAGUCAAGCAAGGGAGCCAAGGCCACUGUCAGCUCUCAGUGUUUAGAAUAACCCAGUAAAACCUCCUGGGAACCAGGCUGGGGUCGGACCGGCGCUGGCAAGGAGAAAGAACGAGAGACAACAAUGUUAUAUUCCUACGGACAGCCGGGCUGGACUUUCCCCCUCCAUUUGGUGAGCCAUUUUGUGUCACGUGCCACUGUGAUCGGUACAGCUGUUUUGAAAGGCUUGCCUGCCCCUCCUCAGUGCCCCUGUGACAGUGUGUGCCUUUGACACGCGCGGAGCAAGGA